rnacentral:misc_RNA from 1 species
GAUGAAGAACGCAGCGAAAUGCGAUAAUUAAUGUGAAUUGCAGAAUUCAGUGAAUCAUCGAAUCUUUGAACGCACAUUGCGCCCCCCAGUAUUCUGGCGGGCAUGCCAGUUCGAGCGUCAUUUCAACCAUCAAGCCCUGCUUGUGUUGGGGUCCUGCGGCUGCCCGCAGGCCCUGAAAACCAGUGGCGGGCUCGCUAGUCACACCGAGCGCAGUAGCACAUCUCGCUCAGGGCGUGCGGCGGGCUCCAGCCGUUAAAGCACCCACCUUUCGCAAGGUUGACCUCGGAUCAGGUAGGAAUACCCGCUGAACUUAAGCAUAUCAAUAAGCGGAGGA